GGACGAUAAUGACGGUACUUUAGGAGGAAGCUCCGGCUAACUACGUGCCAGCAGCCGCGGUAAUACGUAGGGGGCGAGCGUUGUCCGGAAUUACUGGGUGUAAAGGGAGCGUAGGCGGGACUGCAAGUCAGAUGUGAAAUGCCGGGGCUUAACCCCGGAGCUGCAUUUGAAACUGUGGUUCUUGAGUGAAGUAGAGGCAAGCGGAAUUCCUGGUGUAGCGGUGAAAUGCGUAGAUAUCAGGAGGAACACCGGUGGCGAAGGCGGCUUGCUGGGCUUUUACUGACGCUGAGGCUCGAAAGCGUGGGUAGCAAACAGGAUUAGAUACCCUGGUAGUCCACGCUGUAAACGAUGAUUACUAGGUGUGGGGGGACUGACCUCUUCCGUGCCGCAGUUAACACAAUAAGUAAUCCACCUGGGGAGUACGGCCGCAAGGUUGAAACUCAAAGGAAUUGACGGGGGCCCGCACAAGCAGUGGAGUAUGUGGUUUAAUUCGAAGCAACGCGAAGAACCUUACCAGGUCUUGACAUCGUAUGCAUAAUCUAGAGAUAGAUGAAACCUCUUCGGAGGCAUAUAGACAGGUGGUGCAUGGUUGUCGUCAGCUCGUGUCGUGAGAUGUUGGGUUAAGUCCCGCAACGAGCGCAACCCUUACCUUUAGUUGCUACGCAAGAGCACUCUAAAGGGACUGCCGUUGACAAAACGGAGGAAGGUGGGGAUGACGUCAAAUCAUCAUGCCCCUUAUGACCUGGGCUACACACGUACUACAAUGGCAAUCAACAAAGAGAAGCAAGACAGUGAUGUGGAGCGAAUCUCAAAAAAUUGUCCCAGUUCGCAUUGC
rnacentral:rRNA from 1 species